rnacentral:pre_miRNA from 1 species
AGAGGGAUUGCUGGGUCAUAUGAUAAUUCUAUUUUUAAUUUUUUGAGGAAGCUCCAUACUGUUUUUUAUAGCUGACGCACCAUUUAUAUUCCCACCAACAAU